rnacentral:rRNA from 1 species
UACGUAGGGGGCAAGCGUUGUCCGGAUUUAUUGGGCGUAAAGAGCGUGUAGGCGGCCGCACAGGUCCGUUGUGAAAACUGGAGGCUUAACCUUCAGACGUCGAUGGAAACCGUGCGGCUAGAGUCCGGAAGAGGAGAAUGGAAUUCCUGGUGUAGCGGUGAAAUGCGCAGAUAUCAGGAGGAACACCAAUGGCGAAGGCAGCUCGCUGGGACGGUACUGACGCUGAGGCGCGAAAGCUAGGGGAGCAAACGGG